rnacentral:rRNA from 1 species
GAUGAACGCUGGCGGCGUGCCUAAUACAUGCAAGUCGAGCGAACGGACGAGAAGCUUGCUUCUCUGAUGUUAGCGGCGGACGGGUGAGUAACACGUGGAUAACCUACCUAUAAGACUGGGAUAACUUCGGGAAACCGGAGCUAAUACCGGAUAAUAUUUUGAACCGCAUGGUUCAAAAGUGAAAGACGGUCUUGCUGUCACUUAUAGAUGGAUCCGCGCUGCAUUAGCUAGUUGGUAAGGUAACGGCUUACCAAGGCAACGAUGCAUAGCCGACCUGAGAGGGUGAUCGGCCACACUGGAGCUGAGACACGGUCCGGACUCCUACGGGAGGCAGCAGUAGGGAAUCUUCCGCAAUGGGCGAAAGCCUGACGGAGCAACGCCGCGUGAGUGAUGAAGGUCUUCGGAUCGUAAAACUCUGUUAUUAGGGAAAAACAUAUGUGUAAGUAACUGUGCACAUCUUGACGGUACCUAAUCAGAAAGCCACGGCUAACUACGUG